GUAUGAACCCCACCAUCGCCACCGUCCGCAACGGGCCGGUGGCGGUCUGGAUCGCGACCUCAGGUCAGGCGGGGCCACCCGCUGAGUUUAAGCAUAUCAAUAAGCGGAGGAGAAGAAACUUACGAGGAUUCCCCUAGUAACGGCGAGCGAAACGGGAAGAGCCCAGCUUGAGAAUCGGGCAGCCCCGCUGCUCGAAUUGUAGUCUGUAGAAGCGUCCUCAGUGACGGACCGGGCCCAAGUCCCCUGGAACGGGGCGCCGGAGAGGGUGAGAGCCCCGUCGUGCCCGGACCCUGCCGCACCACGA
rnacentral:rRNA from 1 species